rnacentral:rRNA from 1 species
AUUGAACGCUGGCGGCAUGCUUUACACAUGCAAGUCGAACGGUAACAGGCCUUCGGGUGCUGACGAGUGGCGCACGGGUGAGUAAUGCAUCGGAACGUACCCAGAGGUGGGGGAUAACGCAGCGAAAGCUGUGCUAAUACCGCAUGUGAUCUGAGGAUGAAAGCGGGGGACCGAGCAGCAAUGUUUGGCCUCGCGCCUUUGGAGCGGCCGAUGUCGGAUUAGCUAGUUGGUGGGGUAAAGGCCUACCAAGGCGACGAUCCGUAGCUGGUCUGAGAGGACGACCAGCCACACUGGGACUGAGACACGGCCCAGACCCCUACGGGAGGCAGCAGUGGGGAAUUUUGGACAAUGGGCGCAAGCCUGAUCCAGCAAUGCCGCGUGCGGGAAGAAGGCCUUCGGGUUGUAAACCGCUUUUGGCAGGAACGAAACGGUGUCCGCUAAUACCGGGCGCUAAUGACGGUACCUGCAGAAUAAGCACCGGCUAACUACGUG